GACUACCCCAUGAAUUUAAGCAUAUUAAUUAGGGGAGGAAAAGAAACUAACAAGGAUUUUCUCAGUAGCGGCGAGCGAAAAGAAAAUAGUUCAGCACUAAGUCACUUUGUCUUUAUGGCAAAUGUGAGAUGCAGUGUAUGGAGCAUCAAUAUUCUAGUAUGAGAAAUUACUGAUUUAAGUCCUUCUUAAAUGAGGCCAUUUACCCAUAGAGGGUGCCAGGCCCGUAUAACGUUAAUGAUUACUAGAUGGUGUUUCCAAAGAGUCGUGUUGCUUGAUAGUGCAGCACUAAGUGGGUGGUAAACUCCAUCUAAAACUAAAUAUAACCAUGAGACCGAUAGUAAACAAGUACCGUGAGGGAAAGUUGAAAAGAACUCUGAAUAGAGAGUUAAAUAGUACGUGAAACUGCUUAGAGGUUAAGCCCGAUGAACCUGAAUAUCCAUUAUGGAAAAUUCAUCAUUAGUGUUUUAAUAUUUUAAUAAUAUUAUAAUAAUAGUGUGCAUUUUUUCCAUAUAAGGACAUUGUAAUCUAUUAACAUAAACCAAAUUUAUCAUAAAAUAUGACUUAUAGUUUAUUUAAAUUAUUUUGCUUGCAUUUUAACAUAGAAUAAAUGUCAUUAAUUUGAUAAAGUGUUGAUAGAUUUAUAUGAAUACAGUGCGUUAAUUUUUCGGAAUUAUAUAAUAGCAUGAUUAUCAUUGAUUUUCUGUGUUUAUUAUAUGCACUUGUAUGAUUAACAAUGCGAAAGAUUCAGGAUACCUUCGGGACCCGUCUUGAAACACGGACCAAGGAGUCUAACAUAUGUGCAAGUUAUUGGGAUAUAAACCUAAUAGCAUAAUUAACUUGACUAAUAAUGGGAUUAGUUUUUUAACUAUUUAUAGAUAAUUAACACAAUCCCGGGGCGUUCUAUAUAGUUAUGUAUAAUGAUAUUUAUAUUAUUUAUACCUCUAACUGGAACGUACCUUGAGCAUAUAUGCUGUGACCCGAAAGAUGGUGAACUAUACCUGAUCAGGUUGAAGUCAGGGGAAACCCUGAUGGAAGACCGAAACAGUUCUGACGUGCAAAUCGAUUGUCAGAAUUGAGUAUAGGGGCGAAAGACCAAUCGAACCAUCUAGUAGCUGGUUCCUUCCGAAGUUUCCCUCAGGAUAGCUGGUGCAUUUAAAUGUUAUAUAAAAUAAUCUUAUCUG
rnacentral:ncRNA from 1 species